GACGAACGCUGGCGGCGUGCUUAACACAUGCAAGUCGAACGGAAAGGCCCUGCUUUUGUGGGGUGCUCGAGUGGCGAACGGGUGAGUAACACGUGAGUAACCUGCCCUUGACUUUGGGAUAACUUCAGGAAACUGGGGCUAAUACCGGAUAGGAGCUCCUGCUGCAUGGUGGGGGUUGGAAAGUUUCGGCGGUUGGGGAUGGACUCGCGGCUUAUCAGCUUGUUGGUGGGGUAGUGGCUUACCAAGGCUUUGACGGGUAGCCGGCCUGAGAGGGUGACCGGCCACAUGGGGACUGAGAGACGGCCCAGACUCCUACGUGAGGCAGCAGUGGGGAAUAUGGCACAAUGGGCGAAAGCCUGAUGCGGCAGCGCCGCGUGCGGGAUGACGGCCUUCGGGUUGUAAACCGCUGUCGCCUGUGACGAAGCGGGAGUGACGGUAAUGGGUAAAGAAGCACCGGCUAACUACGUG
rnacentral:rRNA from 1 species